rnacentral:rRNA from 1 species
GACGAACCGUGCGAACGUUGUUCGGAAUCACUGGGCUUAAAGGGCGCGUAGGCGGCCGACCAAGUCCGGGGUGAAAGCCCCCAGCUCAACUGGGGAAGUGCCCCGGAUACUGGCCGGCUCGAGGGAGGUAGGGGCGGAUGGAACUUCCGGUGGAGCGGUGAAAUGCGUUGAUAUCGGGAAGGAACGCCGGUGGCGAAAGCGAUCCGCUGGCCCUCUACUGACGCUGAGACGCGAAAGCGUGGGGAGCGAACAGG